UACAGAGGGGGCAAGCGUUGUUCGGAAUUACUGGGCGUAAAGGGCGCGUAGGCGGCCUUCUAAGUCGAACGUGAAAUCCCCGGGCUCAACCCGGGAACUGCGUCCGAUACUGGAAGGCUUGAAUCCGGGAGAGGGAUGCGGAAUUCCAGGUGUAGCGGUGAAAUGCGUAGAUAUCUGGAGGAACACCGGUGGCGAAGGCGGCAUCC
rnacentral:rRNA from 1 species